rnacentral:rRNA from 1 species
AUUGAACGCUGGCGGCAUGCCUUACACAUGCAAGUCGAACGGUAACGGGCCUUCGGGUGCCGACGAGUGGCGAACGGGUGAGUAAUGUAUCGGAACGUACCUUUCAGUGGGGGAUAACGUAGCGAAAGUUACGCUAAUACCGCAUAUUCUGUGCGCAGGAAAGCAGGGGAUCGCAAGACCUUGCGCUGAUUGAGCGGCCGAUAUCAGAUUAGCUAGUUGGUGAGGUAAAGGCUCACCAAGGCGACGAUCCGUAGCGGGUCUGAGAGGAUGAUCCGCCACACUGGAACUGAGACACGGUCCAGACUCCUACGGGAGGCAGCAGUGGGGAAUUUUGGACAAUGGGGGCAACCCUGAUCCAGCCAUGCCGCGUGAGUGAAGAAGGCCUUCGGGUUGUAAAGCUCUUUCGGCCGGGAAGAAAUCGCAUCAGCUAAUACCUGGUGCGGAUGACGGUACCGGCAUAAGAAGCACCGGCUAACUACGUGCCAGCCGCCGCCGUAAGAC